rnacentral:rRNA from 1 species
UACGAAGGGGGCUAGCGUUGCUCGGAAUCACUGGGCGUAAGCGCACGUAGGCGGCUUUUUAAGUCAGAGGUGAAAUCCUGGAGCUCAACUCCAGAACUGCCUUUGAUACUGGAGAGCUUGAGUCCGGGAGAGGUCGAGUGGAACUGCGAGUGUAGAGGUGAAAUUCGUAGAUAUUCGCAAGAACACCAGUGGCGAAGGCGGCUCACUGGCCCGGUACUGACGCUGAGGUGCGAAAGCGUGGGGAGCAAACAGGG